GGUCACGUGAUCAAAUUCCAUAAAGCCCGAAGGGCUUUAUGGAAAAUUUGAUCAUGUACCAACCCGUAUUUAUAUCCCGAUAAAUAUUUUAAAAUGAUACCUUAUUACUUAUAUUUACAUUUUUGGUCGGUAACAUUGCUGAAUUGUGUUAACAACACGUUUCCAUACAUUUCAAAUUGUUGACGUCCACAACGAAGCGUCAUAGAUGUUCAAAAUGACGACAACACAAAACAAAGUUCUAUAAAAUGAAGAACUGUUUUAAUUAUUAAGACGCUAGAAAGCAAGUAUAUCAACAUAUACUUAUACAUUAACUCGGGAGUAUAUAAUGGAAAACUCUUCCAUAUGUCUAAUUUUAGGGGGUGGGGGAAUUAUGAUUUAAACGGGGAUGCGCAGUGUUACACUUAGAGUUGUGAUGCGCUUUGACUUUUGAAAAGUGAAGACGUUGAAGACCGACUUUGAAAGAUAUUCUGUGGAUAUUAUGGAGUUAACAGAAGACUGAGAUGGAGGAACAUGAAGAACAGGGCGGCAGUCGUCAGGUGUAGGCAAAUCAUUUAUAGACAGGACAGAGGACGCAGCUCAGAUGAAUCUCCGGAAAGAACUGAACAUCGCAGAGAAUGUGGAACUGCACGAAGGUUUUUAACGACGCCUCGCUUCGAUGUCCCGACAUAAACUUGGAAACCGACAUCAAGCACUAUGGCUGCUGUGGCACGGAAGCGGUGUGGUGUGUAGGUCUUAAUGCACUUUGACGACUUAUCGGCCAUACAUCCUGUGAAUGACCUUUUUGCUAAAGCCUAAUGUCAUCGUCUAGCAGUAGGUACAAUUCCGCAUCACCGAUGACCAGGGUGAAGUUGUAGCAGACGAAAUUUUAGACAUACAUUAGGCCUAGUAGGCUAGUAACUAAAGACAUUGUUUACAGAAAUGCUUUUAUCAAUUAUUGAUGAAAGUCCACUGCUUGGAAUACAAAUAAAACCGUAAAUACAU